rnacentral:rRNA from 1 species
CGCCCCCCCUGCUCGCCGCAGUUUAGGUUUGAGUCCUUUUGGCUCAACCAGGCCGGCUUCCGGGAUGCGGUUUCGGCUCGUUGGACGCUUGCUCGUGCCUCCCCCCAUCGCUCCAUGUCCGCCGUCGACUCGUGGCACUUCUGCGCCAAGCUUACACGCCAAUUCAUGAAGGGCUGGGGUGACAAUCUUGGUCGUGACCUCCGCGAGCGUAAGCGAUCUCUCCUGCUGGCUAUCCAAGCCCUGGACGCUCGGGCCGAUUCCUCUGGGCUUUCUCCGGAUGAGUGGGUGCUGAGGCAUGAUCUUGAGGAUCGGCUUUCCUCCAUCUACACCGAUGAGGAGGCUUACUGGAGGGUGCGUGGGACCCAGCGAUGGGUGCUCCAUGGCGAUGCGAACACUGCUUAUUUCCAGGCAGUUGCGAAUGGACGACACCGUAGAAACUCCAUCCACUGCUUAUGGGCGGAUGACGUCCCCCUUGUCCACCCCGCGUCCAUUCGGGCUCAUGUAGACGACUUCUACAAAGCCCUCUUCUCCCCCACCCCUCGGGGUGGGGCUAGUCUCGCCCCCGACACUUGGUCGGGGGCGCAGCUGGUCUCCGACGAGGCCAACGCGGCCCUUGUUGCCCCCUUCACCGAAGUCGAGGUCCUUGCGGCCAUUAAAGGAAUGAACCCUUCCUCGGCCCCGGGUCCGGAUGGCCUGCCUGUUGCGUUCUUUAAAACAUUCUGGCAGACUGUUAAUCUGGAGGUCAUGGCCUUAUUCGAGGAGUUCUAUUCGCGUUCUAUGGACCUGGGACGCCUCAACUAUGGGAUCAUUACCCUCAUCCCAAAGGUUUCGGGCGCCUCUGAUAUUCGCCAGUUCCGCCCUAUCACUGUGAUUAACGUGAUAUUCAGGAUCCUGGCCAAAGGGUACGCCAAUAGGGUG